rnacentral:rRNA from 1 species
UACGUAGGGUGCGAGCGUUGUCCGGAAUUAUUGGGCGUAAAGAGCGUGUAGGCGGUCCGGUAAGUCAGCUGUGAAAGUCAAGGGCUCAACCCUUGAAUGCCGGUUGAUACUGUCGGGCUAGAGUCCGGAAGAGGCGAGUGGAAUUCCCGGUGUAGCGGUGAAAUGCGCAGAUAUCAGGAGGAACACCAGCGGCGAAGGCGGCGCUCUGGGCCGGUACUGACGCUGAGGAGCGAAAGCGUGGGUAGCAAACAGG